AGUACAGAUUUUAUCAGUGAGUAUUUGUUCUCGGAAUGGCUUAGAUGAUUAUUAAAUAGUCCGACAUAUUACGAUAAGGUUGUAUGUCCAAAGGGAAACAGCCCAGAACAAGAGUAAUAAGGUUCCAAAAUUAUUUUUAAGUGAAAUAAAGGAAGUACAUUUCUAAAACAUCCAGGAAAUAGUGCUUAGAAGCGGCCAUUUUUUGAAGACCUCGUAACAGAGCACUGGCUUUAGUUAAAUUAUUGACGGAAAUGUGCAUUAAAGAUUUAACGGAUCUAAAUAAUAUACCGAUACCUUGUAUAUAUAUUUAUAUAUAACCUCCAGAACAACAAAAAAUAGGGACGCGGAUCAGGUUUAUCACGACCAGAUUUAAAACAAAUUAAUUGAUUAAUUCUAGUACGAACAGAUUCAAAAUAAUAGAUUCGGUUUAUUAUGAACAAAUUAAAGAAUUAGGUCUAGCAUGACCAAAUUAACAACCUGAAAAAAAAUGGUACUGGUUCAGAAAUUAAAUAUAUAUGGUAGCGGAACAUUGGGGAAAAAUUAGAUUAUUUGUUUUUAACAAAUACUAUUAUAUAACCCAAGAGAUAAUGCUGGCAUGAGUAACGAUAAAGGAUAAUAUCCUCGCCUAAAGCUUAUGGUAUUUAUUUAAAGUAACGGCCUCUAAGUUAUUAAUUCUAAUGGAUUAUACGAUGAGAAAAUCUUAUAACAGCUUACUUUUUAUAGAGUAUAAAACAUUUUUACAGGUGUUAUAGUAUUAGAUAGAAAACAAAAAGCGUGUUAGUUUAUUACUAAUAUACAAUUACAUGUAUUAUAAUGUCUGUUAAAGUGAAAAAUGUUCUGGAAAAACUUUAAGACAGAAAAAAAAAUUACUGUAAUUAGUAAAAAUUUUUUUUAGCAGUAAGCAAAUUUAUACUUAAACCGUACCUAAAUACUAACACAAGUAAGCAAG
rnacentral:rRNA from 1 species